rnacentral:misc_RNA from 1 species
UCUCCGUUGGUGAACCAGCGGAGGGAUCAUUACCGAGCUUACAACUCCCAAACCCAAUGUGAACGUUACCAAACUGUUGCCUCGGCGGGGUCACGCCCCGGGUGCGUCGCAGCCCCGGAACCAGGCGCCCGCCGGAGGAACCAACCAAACUCUUUCUGUAGUCCCCUCGCGGACGUUAUUUCUUACAGCUCUGAGCAAAAAUUCAAAAUGAAUCAAAACUUUCAACAACGGAUCUCUUGGUUCUG